rnacentral:snRNA from 1 species
GUGCUCGCUCCGGCAGCACAUAUACUAAAAAUUGGAAUGACACAGAGAAGAUUAGCAUGGCCCCUGUGCAAGGAUGACACGCAAAUUCAUGAAGCGUUCCAUGUUUUU